ACUAAAUCCUCUACGUGGUCGUUCAAAUUGCUACGAACGAAAAUUCUAUACUCCUUCAAAUUACAACCUGCAGUCUUGGAAACAAGAUGCACUGAACAAUAUAUACGAAAGACGGGAUAGGCAUGAACGGAACGCUUCAGAUCAUAACCUUAUCGACUCUUAUUAGAGCUAAACGAAAACAAAAAAAGGAUAACGAUUUAAUGAAGGGCUGGAAAAUUUAUUUAGAAAAAGAUUUAACAAGUGACAUUACUAUAAACCGUCUGCAAGUCUUUAUCAUAAAUUACGUGUAGCAACAGAAUUGAUUAUUUCGUACAUUGGCACAAAGGAUCGGAUACAUAGGAAUCGGUCAUUAUUAAGAAGUUUGCAGACUUUAAACCGAUUCGCCUUCGAUUACAGGUGGGACACGAUCGGACGUGUAAAUUGAAUGAACAUAACUGCGGCAGAUGAGAAAGCAGAGAAAGGCGGGUUUUCAGCGCAUUUCUGCUGCUAGCUUACAUAAUAACAUUCAUAUGACUCGAUGGAAUGAUGUAAUUAAAAGCAAAACAUGAAACAUUAAUGUCUGUGUGUAUUCCUUACCUGAUUCCGCAGCAACGGACAACACACAUGUUGAAGCACUUUCCUCGUGGCCGCCAUUUUAAAGAUCUCACAUGUCACAACAGAGAGAGAGAGAGACAAGACAUAGAGAAAGACAGAGGGACAAAGAGAUAGAGGGAUAAAGAGAUAGAGUUAGAGAGGAGAUAAGUGGUAGAGAGGCAGCGAGAGAAGGGGUGAGUGAUAAAGUAAUAGUAAGAGAGAGAGAUGAGUGAUAGCGAUGAAAGACAGAGACGUCAGUGUGAAAGAAAGAGGGACAGAAAUAUGUAGGAGUGAUAGGAGAGAGGUAGAUAAGUGACAAAAGGGAGAAAGAAAUAUAUAUGAGUGGAUGAGAGGAAAAGAGGAAUGAGUGAGGGCGGUGAAAAUAAGGGAGAAUUGGAGAUAAGGAGUGAGGUAAAGAGGGGAUUAAUUGUAGGGGAUUAGGUGGAGCAGGAUAUAAAAAGGAUACUGUUUAUAAAGAGAGAAAGUGAAAGGGUAAGUGAUUAGAUGAGAGGGGGAGAGGCGAGAUUGAUAGGGAAUGAUUGAACCAGUGAAGGAGAGGGAAAGGAUUUGAAUGGGAGAGAGAGAGAAGGAAUAAAUGUGUGAGUGAAUGAGAGGGAAAGUCAUUAAAAGAAAGAAGGGUAGAGAAAGAGAAGAAUGAAUGAGUGAGUGAGAGAGAGAGAAAGGAAGGGUUAGAAGGUUAAGAACAGACAAUCUAGAGACAAAUGAAUGAAAGAGAGAGAGAAAACGGGAAAGAAAGUGAAAAAUCAUCAUUAUUGAGUUGGAUGAGAUGUAUUAAGCAGAGAGAGAGAGAGAGAGAGAAAUGGUGAUGAGAAAGAGAGGAAGGAAAGGCUACAGUUUGAUUUUUAACAAAAAGGCCGGUAAAAUGUAAACAAUGAAAAUACUAAAGAUGAGAAGAUACACACGUGGUGGGAGAAAAGAUGAAAUAAGAUGGGAGAUGAAAGCAACACAAUGGAGAGAAUUAACCUAGCGAGUUUAUGGUUCCAACACAUUUGAUCAACUCAGAACGACCAUUGUUGGUGACAGCUCCCCAUAUCAUUACAGAGAUAUGCCAUGUUUCACAAUUGAUUGGAGUCAAUUCAAAUAAAAUUCUUGAUAGGGAAGCCUCCAGACCCAAACACGUCCACUGUCUGAAAAUAAAGCAAAUCUGGAUUCAUCUGAGAAAAUCAUUCUAUACCAAAAUGAACUGUUUUUUUCUGACAUCUCCUUAGCCCAUUUCUUUCUUUUCAUGAUAUUAAUUGGCUGAAGGAGAGGUUUUCUUCUAGCUGCUCGUCCAUAAUACCCAAGCUUAUGCAGAUAUAUAACACACAUUC